rnacentral:misc_RNA from 1 species
GAUGAAGAACGUAGCGAAAUGCGAUAAGUAAUGUGAAUUGCAGAAUUCAGUGAAUCAUCGAAUCUUUGAACGCACAUUGCGCCCGCCAGUAUUCUGGCGGGCAUGCCUGAUCGAGCGUCAUUUCAACCAUCAAGCCCCCGGGCCUGUGUUGGGGACCUGCGGCUGCCCGCAGGCCCCGAAAACCAGUGGCGGGCUCGCUGUCACCCCGAGCGUAGUAGCAACACCUCGCCCAGGGAGUGCCGCGGGCACCGGCCGUAAAACCUCCUCUCGCCCCCCCCCGCGGGAGGGAACACCCCAAAGGUUGACCUCGGAUCAGGUAGGAAGACCCGCUGAACUUAAGCAUAUCAAUAAGCGGAGGA